CCUACGGGAGGCAGCAGUGAGGAAUAUUGGACAAUGGGCGCAAGCCUGAUCCAGCCAUGCCGCGUGCAGGAAGAAGCAUCUAUGGUGUGUAAACUGCUUUUGUACAGGAAGAAACACUCCCUCGUGAGGGAGCUUGACGGUACUGUAAGAAUAAGGACCGGCUAACUCCGUGCCAGCAGCCGCGGUAAUACGGAGGGUCCGAGCGUUAUCCGGAAUCAUUGGGUUUAAAGGGUCCGUAGGCGGUUUAAUAAGUCAGUGGUGAAAUCUGGUCGCUCAACGAUCAAACGGCCAUUGAUACUGUUAGACUUGAAUUAUAAGGAAGUAACUAGAAUAUGUAGUGUAGCGGUGAAAUGCUUAGAUAUUACAUGGAAUACCAAUUGCGAAGGCAGGUUACUACUUAUGGAUUGACGCUGAUGGACGAAAGCGUGGGGAGCGAACAGGAUUAGAUACCCUGGUAGUCCCACGACCGUAACGACGUAGAGUACUAGACUGUUCGGUACGACGAACCUACGUAGUGGUCGUAAGACGAAGUAGAGUAAGUAAUACCC
rnacentral:rRNA from 1 species